rnacentral:rRNA from 2 species
AAAACGACUCUCGGCAACGGAUAUCUCGGCUCUCGCAUCGAUGAAGAACGUAGCGAAAUGCGAUACUUGGUGUGAAUUGCAGAAUCCCGUGAACCAUCGAGUCUUUGAACGCAAGUUGUGCCCCAAGCCGUUAGGCCGAGGGCACGCCUGCCUGGGUGUCACGC